rnacentral:rRNA from 1 species
UACGUAGGGACCGAGCGUUGUUCGGAAUUACUGGGCGUAAAGCGCACGUAGGCGGAUGUUUAAGUUAGGGGUGAAAUCCCAGGGCUCAACCCUGGAACUGCCUCUAAUACUGGGCAUCUAGAGUCCGAGAGAGGUGAGUGGAAUUCCGAGUGUAGAGGUGAAAUUCGUAGAUAUUCGGAGGAACACCAGUGGCGAAGGCGGCUCACUGGCUCGGUACUGACGCUGAGGUGCGAAAGCGUGGGGAGCAAACAGGG